AGUGAACGCUGGCGGCAGGCCUAACACAUGCAAGUCGAACGGCAGGACAGCAAGCGCUCGCUAUUACGGGUGGCGAGUGGCGGACGGGUGAGGAAUACAUCGGAAUCUUAUUUUUCGUGGGGGAUAACGUAGGCAAACUUACGCUAAUACCGCAUAUGAUGUACCGGUGGAAGCAGGGGAUCUUCGGACCUUGCGCGAUCGAUUGAGCCGGUGUCGGAUUAGCUAGUCGGCGGGGUAAAGGCCCUUCAAGGCGACGAUCCGUUGCUGGUCCGAGAGGAUGGUCCGCCACACUGGAACUGAGACACGGUCCAGACUCCGGCGGGAGGCAGCAGUGGGGAAUCUUAGACGAUGGGCGCGAGCCUAAUCCAGCCAUACCGCGUCAGUGAAGAAGGCCUUCGGCUUGUAAAGCCCUGUUGUUGGGAGAAAAGAAAAGCAGGUUAAUACCCGGCUGUUCUGACGGUACCCAAAGAAUAAGCCCCGGCUAACUUCGUG
rnacentral:rRNA from 1 species